rnacentral:rRNA from 1 species
AGCUCUCCGAGUGGUAGGGAUGUUUAUUGGGCCUAAAGCGUCCGUAGCCGGUUCAGCAAGUCCUCCGUUAAAUCCAGCGAUUCAAUCGUUGGACUGCGGGAGAUACUGCUGGACUAGGGGACGGGAGAGGCCGACGGUAUUCCCGGAGUAGGGGUGAAAUCCAAUAAUUCCGGGAGGACCACCAGUGGCGAAGGCUGUCGGCUAGAACGAGCUCGACGGUGAGGGACGAAAGCUGGGGGAGCGAACCGGAUUAGAUACCCGUGUAGUCC